rnacentral:rRNA from 1 species
UACGUAGGGUGCGAGCGUUAAUCGGAAUCACUGGGCGUAAAGCGUGCGUAGGCGGUUGGCAAAGUCAGCUGUGAAAGCCCCGGGCUCAACCUGGGAAUGGCGGUUGAAACUAGUCGACUCGAAUCUGGCAGAGGGGGGUGGAAUGCCACGUGUAGCAGUGAAAUGCGUAGAGAUGUGGCGGAACACCGAUGGCGAAGGCAGCCCCCUGGGCUGAGAUUGACGCUCAGGCACGAAAGCGUGGGGAGCAAACAGG